rnacentral:snoRNA from 1 species
AUUCAGGUGAAGAUUCUCCGUAUGACACUAUAAACAACAGUUCCUUCUCUACUUCUAGUGUCCUCCUUUGGCCAUAACCUUUGCACUUGGUUUUUUUCAGCCGUGUGUGAUUUUAAAAAGGUCUAUCUUUGAU